rnacentral:rRNA from 1 species
AGCGAACGCUGGCGGCAGGCCUAACACAUGCAAGUCGAACGGAUCCUCCGGGAUUAGUUGCGGACGGGUGAGUAACACGUCGGAACGUUCCCUUUGGCUCGGAACACCUCAGUGAAACUUGAGCUAAUACCGGAUGUGUUCCUCGGGGGAAAGAUUUAUCGCCCUUGUAGCGGCCCGCGUUGUAUUAGCUUGUUGGUGUGGUAACGGCCCACCACGGCUACGCUCAGUAGCUGGUCUGAGAGGAUGGUCAGCGACACUGAGACUGAGACACGGCCGAGAAUACUACGGGAGGGAGGAGUGGGGGAUCUAGCGCAAUGGGCGAAAGGCUGAAGGAGCCAGGCCGGGUGAAUGAUGAAGGUCUUAGGAAUGUAAAAUUCUUUCAGCGGGGACGGUAAUGACGGUACCCGCAGAAGAAGCUCCGGCUAACUUCGUG